AUCGAGCCGGGAAGAUGGCACCGCCCACGGAGCUGCUGGCCAGGCCGGAGCGAGGCAGCGCGCCCGGCUCCCGCGCCAUGGGGCGGCUGGUGGCUGUGGGCUUGCUGGGGAUCGCGCUGGCGCUCCUGGGCGAGAGGCUUCUGGCACUCAGAAAUCGACUUAAAGCCUCCAGAGAAGUAGAAUCUGUAGACCUUCCACACUGCCACCUGAUUAAAGGAAUUGGUAUGUAUAUGAAAAUGCUUGUUGGGCACAUUGCAUUUUUUGGCCAUUAACAUUAAAACACUCAUUAAUGGCAUUUUAGCAUGAAAUUACUGCUUUUCAGUGGAUAAAUCACAUUAGAUCAACAAAAACCUCUUUGGUCAACCUCUUGAUCUGAUGAACCCUGUAUUUAUUCUUCUUUCCUACCCUCACUGUAAAUUAUUCUUUUUUGUGUGUAAUUCUAUGUUUAGCAUUUGAUUUCUUGCUUGUUUUGUGACUUCUCUGAACUAUUUUUGUUGCGUCUGUAUUGUUUGUCAGGUAUGGCCGCUGCAGUCUGUGUUCUGUGAGCCUUGUGGUCAGCUAGUGAAGGAAGCU
rnacentral:lncRNA from 10 species